GGCUUGUUCGGGUUGCGUCUCGAUCGUCCGGUCGCUCCUCCUUUCGGAGGUGGCGUCGGGUGUUCGGUCCAUUUCUCGGGCAGUGUUGGGACGACGCAUGAGUGGCAAUCAGGAUAGGUUCCCUCUGCAGGCUCCGUGCUUCUCGCAUCGAACUGCCUUGGCCUGUCCGUUUCAGUUGAUAUCUCGCCUCGGUGCCUCGAGGGCCGGUCGCGAGUGAUGGGUGGGUUCCUGUGCUUGAUACCUUAUUUCGGUACACGGAUUCAAUGUUGUCCACGUCUCGGUUACCUUGUUCCUCCUCCGCCUCCUGUGCGUUGGUGGUGUUAUCGUGCGGGCAUCGACGCUCUCCGUCCGGGCGGUCGUCCGCCUCUGGGCUUUUCCGCUCGUGUCGGCGCGUCGAUGCCGUCCGCGUGCUCCUGGGUACGGUGAUAUAUGUUUUUAUCGCGUGGUCCUCUGUUGGCCGUAGCGAUCUCGACGUGUCGAGGCAUCUUUGCUUCCGCUCGGGCGACCCUCGUUCUUUCCUUGGAGCUCGCGGAGCCUCUGGUGUCCGCGUUCGUCCUUGGACGCAUCGAGGUCUACAAUGGAAUGCUACCUGGUUGAUCCUGCC
rnacentral:misc_RNA from 1 species